AAGUCCCUUUACCAUUGUACCUCAAUGUACAUACUUAUAUCGAUAAAUUUAUCGUCGCUAAUUAUUUUAUCGUUUUUCAUUUGUGCUUCUUGAAUUUGUAGGUUGAAGAAUGUGAGGGAAAAAAGCAAGCAAGGUAGCACAAGUGUGCAGCAGAUAAGCAGAUAGAUAAAUGCAAUGAUGCAGACAUAUGAAGAUCAAAUUGGUCUGAAUAUAUAAUGUUAUGUGGUCUGAAUAAGCCCAGUGAGAUAUGAUAACAUAUUUUCUGCCAAAGGUGGGAAAAAGUUUGUUUGGAGUACUCCCACAAUGUGAAAGA
rnacentral:lncRNA from 1 species